rnacentral:pre_miRNA from 11 species
CAGGCAAAUGGCCACAGGAUAGCUUCAGUGAACAUUCAACGCUGUCGGUGAGUUUGGAAUCGAGAGCAAACCAUCGACCGUUGACUGUACCUUGAGGUUUAUCACUGACACGUGGGACAAC